CCUACGGGUGGCUGCAGUGGGGGAUAUUGCACAAUGGGGGGAACCCUGAUGCAGCGACGCCGCGUGGGUGAAGAAGCGCCUCGGCGCGUAAAGCCCUGUCAGCAGGGAAGAAACUGACGGUACCUGAAGAAGAAGCCCCGGCUCACUACGUGCCCGCAGCCGCGGUAAUACGUAGGGGGCAAGGGUGAUCCGGAUUUACUGGGUGGAAAGGGGGCGCAGACGGGGUUGCAAGCCAGGAGUGAAAGCCCGGGGCCCAACCCCGGGACUGCUCUUGGAACUGCGUGGCUUGAGUGCAGGAGGGGCAGGCGGAAUUCGUGGUGUAGCGGUGAAAUGCGUAGAUAUCAGGAGGAACACCGGUGGCGAAGGCGGCCUGCUGGACUGCAACUGACGUUGAGGCGCGAAAGCGUGGGGAGCAAACAGGAUUAGAUACCCCUGUAGUC
rnacentral:rRNA from 1 species